rnacentral:rRNA from 1 species
UACGGAGGGUGCAAGCGUUAAUCGGAAUUACUGGGCGUAAAGCGCACGCAGGCGGUUUGUUAAGUCAGAUGUGAAAUCCCCGGGCUCAACCUGGGAACUGCAUCUGAUACUGGCAAGCUUGAGUCUCGUAGAGGGGGGUAGAAUUCCAGGUGUAGCGGUGAAAUGCGUAGAGAUCUGGAGGAAUACCGGUGGCGAAGGCGGCCCCCUGGACGAAGACUGACGCUCAGGUGCGAAAGCGUGGGGAGCAAAC